CAAAAUAAAUACUGCUUUAUUGUGCAGAAUACAAAAAUGUCGACGUUUCAGUCACAAUAGACUUUUCUCAAGACGUCUUGAGAAAAGUCUAUUGUGACUGAAACGUCGACAUUUUUGUAUUCUGCACAAUAAAGCAGUAUUUAUUUUGAUAUAAAAUGAAGACUCCAGAGUGCUCUCUACUU